GUGGGAGAUUGGGAGAGCGCAGGGAGGAUGUCGAAACUGCGAGUUCAUCGGCAGCGUUGGCGCGGCGAGCGCUUGUGUCUGAUUUGAGUGUGAAGUGGGAUGCUGCUGGGCUGUUGGUGGGGGAGGAGGGCCCCAGGGGGGGAAGAGUGGCGGAGACCGUCGCGAUCUAUAGUGGGUGGAAGACGGGCAGAGUACCGAUUGGUAUGGCCGAUCCAUCUGCGAUGGGCAGUGCCUGGAGGUCGUGUGAUGGGCAGAGGUUGCGUCAUUAAGACUGAUUUAUACGUUUUUUUUUUUUUUUUUGUUGUGG
rnacentral:lncRNA from 1 species